rnacentral:rRNA from 1 species
GAUGAACGCUGGCGGCAUGCCUAACACAUGCAAGUCGAUCGGUAAGGCUCUUCGGAGUACACGAGAGGCGGACGGCUGAGUAACGCGUAGGAACACACCCUGCAGUGAGGGAUAAGACACCGAAAGGUGUUCUAAUACCGCAUACGGUCUUCGGAUUAAAGCAUUUAUGCGCUGAAGGAGUGGCCUGCGUCAUAUUAGAUAGUUGGUGAGGUAAUGGCUCACCAAGUCGAUGAUGUGUAGCUGGUCUGAGAGGAUGAUCAGCCAGACUGGAACUGAGACACGGUCCAGACUCCUACGGGAGGCAGCAGUGAGGAAUAUUUCACAAUGAGCGAAAGCUUGAUGGAGCAAUGCCGCGUGCAGGAUGAAGGCCCUCGGGUUGUAAACUGCUUUUAUAAGAGAAGAUUAUGACGGUAACUUAUGAAUAAGGGACAGCUAACUACGUG